rnacentral:rRNA from 1 species
AUUGAACGCUGGCGGCAGGCCUAACACAUGCAAGUCGAACGGUAACAGGAAGAAGCUUGCUUCUUUGCUGACGAGUGGCGGACGGGUGAGUAAUGUCUGUGAAACUGCCUGAUGGAGGGGGAUAACUACUGGAAACGGUAGCUAAUACCGCAUAACGUCGCAAGACCAAAGAGGGGGACCUUCGGGCCUCUUGCCAUCGGAUGUGCCCAGAUGGGAUUAGCUAGUAGGUGGGGUAACGGCUCACCUAGGCGACGAUCCCUAGCUGGUCUGAGAGGAUGACCAGCCACACUGGAACUGAGACACGGUCCAGACUCCUACGGGAGGCAGCAGUGGGGAAUAUUGCACAAUGGGCGCAAGCCUGAUGCAGCCAUGCCGCGUGUAUGAAGAAGGCCUUCGGGUUGUAAAGUACUUUCAGCGGGGAGGAAGGGAGUAAAGUUAAUACCUUUGCUCAUUGACGUUACCCGAAGAAGAAGCACCGGCUAACUCCGUG